rnacentral:rRNA from 1 species
CCUACGGGAGGCAGCAGUGGGGAAUAUUGCGCAAUGGGGGAAACCCUGACGCAGCAACGCCGCGUGAAGGAAGAAGGCUUUCGGGUCGUAAACUUUUGUCUUCUGGGAAGAAUAAAUGACGGUACCAGAGGAGGAAGCCACGGUUAACUACGUGCCAGCAGCCGCGGUAAUACGUAGGUGGCGAGCGUUGUCCGGAUUUACUGGGUGUAAAGGGUGCGUAGGCGGGUAUGCAAGUCAGAUGUGAAAUACCGGGGCUCAACUCCGGGGCUGCAUUUGAAACUGCAUAUCUUGAGUGCAGGAGAGGAAAGUGGAAUUCCUAGUGUAGCGGUGAAAUGCGUAGAGAUUAGGAGGAACACCAGUGGCGAAGGCGACUUUCUGGACUGUAACUGACGCUGAGGCACGAAAGUGUGGGGAGCGAACAGGAUUAGAUACCCUGGUAGUCCACACUGUAAACGAUGGAUACUAGGUGUAGGGGGUAUCGACCCCUUCUGUGCCGGAGUUAACACAAUAAGUAUCCCACCUGGGGAGUACGGCCGCAAGGUUGAAACUCAAAGGAAUUGACGG